UAUCUCCGCGCUGCGCCGCGUUGCCGACCGACCGAGACUGACCCCUCCUGGCCCCUGCCCACCCAGUCCGGCCGAAUCCAGCCCCAACACGCUCCACUUUCCUUCGAUUUCCGCCGCCCGCCGAAGCCGUCUCCGGCAAGGACCCGACCGGCGACACGACCUCUUCCCGGCGGCCCGCCCGCGGCCAGGCGCGCUCUUUCCUCUCUCCCCGCGCUCUGGCCAUGGCCGGUCUGCUCCUCCUCUCUUCGUCCGGGGCCCCGGGUCAUGGCCGUCUCUCGCCUCGCCUCCUCGCGUCCGGUUUGGAAUCGCUCCUCCUUGAUUCGUCGCCCGUUCAGGUUUAGAACCGCGCCUGAUUUGGUUUUCGUUCCUGCUCGAUUCGCCUGUUUGGAAUUGCGCCUGGUUUGAUCUUGCUCGUCCUCGCUGUCGUCCGGUUCAAUUUUGCUCGUCCUCGCCGCCGUCGUCCGUGUAGGGUCGCGCCUGGUUCAAUUUCGCUCAUCCUCGCUGCCGUCGUCCGUGUAGGGUCGCUUGCGGUUUGAUUUCGCUCGUCCUCGUCGUCGUCCGUGUAGGGUCGCGCCUAGCUCGAUUUCGCUCGUCCUCGCCGUUGACCCGAUGCGCUCGCGUGUUCUUGGUCCGUCUCGCCUCGUCGGGGUCUCCUCCGUCUCGUUUGCGUACUAGCAAUUCUGUCCGCGCGCGCUUCUGUUAGCCGAACUAGCAGUCCUGGGUUUCAUGCUCGCGUCUGGUUUCGAAAUUGGAUUACGGCCGGAGACGGGGAGCGGUGUUCGUUUAUUGUGCUAGUUCAGACCGGUUCCUCCAUUCCGUCACCUACGUUGCUCUUGGUGAUUUUCAAAACUCAAACGUAUGCUCUCCUGUGAUACUCUGUCAAUUCUUGGCCCUCUGUCAGUUCUUGUUGGCCCUCUGUCAAUUCUUGAGUUCCAGGGUCUGUUAAUUCUUGACUUCUUGUUGUACCGGCUAGGCGUGUGUGCUCUCAUCCUAUAUUCAGAGAUGGGGUGAUUCCUUACGCUUGAUCUCAUGGUGUUUCCUUACUGUUUAUGUUCUUUCCAAUUUGUUUCUUUUUAUCAUGCUUUGCUUGCGUGUUCCGAGCAGAAAAGUUUUACAAGAGUGCAAACCAUGUGGCCUGCUGCUUGACUAAUUGAACACCUGCUGCUGCUACUGUUGGACAAGGUUCCUUCUUUUCUUCCUGAUGUUGCUAUUUCCAUUGAACUACUCAUAGGAGUUCUAGAUGAGCUGCUGCUAGUUAGUUCCCCUUAGACUACAUUCUAGAUUGCAUAGCAUAAUUACAGAAUUUUGUCAUUGCACACCUGGGCAUAUAAUUCUGUUGUGAGCAUAACUCCUGAAUUCAUUCAUCCGUGAAAGCACGUUCAUCACAUGUUUUUUACCAUGCUGCUAACUUCUGUCAUGUCCCUUUCCUUUGGACAAGAAUUUCAACGAACCUAUAACGUGGACAUGUGCUGCUUGUUUUCUUGUGAUGAUGGUGAUCCAAUUGAGUAGCCCAACUCUUAUGCUCUGACAUUUGUUAAUCCCCAGUUAGUGUGCAUGAAAAUUUAUUGUUUGUCAUGUUAAAUUUUAUGGCAUCAAUUCGGUAUUGUGAUUAAUGACUUAGUAUUUGUUUAGUGUAGACAGUUGACUUCUUUUUUCUUAAGCUUUUAGUGAUAUGCAUGUUUUGUUAUGUCUUAUGGGGAUAUCAUAUUCUUUCUUUGUAUUACUAAUGUCCAGUCAAUGGAAAAUGCUUUUCUUGCUUGGCCUAGACUUUGUGACAAUUAACUUAUAGUGCGAUCAUUGAUCAUGAGAUUCUGACACCCUAUUCCGUAAAAUUCUGUUGUAAUAUUUGCUGGAUCAUUGAGUAGUUAAUAUUGAUUCUGAGUUUGUUGGAUCAUUAACUUCUGUGUGUGCUUUGGUUAUCUAAGAGACACUCACUAUCCCGUGUUUCAUAUUCGUGGCGGAGCGAUGAACGAUUAUGUUCCGUGUCCCUGUGUUUCGUGUUCGCCGGUCUGGUUUUGGAUUUGGAUUACGGAGACGGGGAGAGGCCAAAGCAAGGUCAGUUUAUCGUGUUUGCUCAGAUCGGUUCCUCGGUUCCGUCGCUGCAUUGUUCGUCGGCUAUUUCCAGUCCUCAAACGCAUGCGCCCUUGUGAUAUUCUGCUUUGGCUCGCUGGUCGUUAUGGUUGUUCGUUACGGUUGUUCUUAUGUUCUUGAAUCACCCAUCUUAUAAGCAGAGAUGGGGUGAUACAUUAUGGUUGUUCUGAUGGUUGCUUAUUUAGUGUUCUUUCCAAAUUGGGUUCUUCUUGCCAUGCUUUGCUUAUGUUCCCAAUGUCUGUCUUUCCAUAUAUGGGGAUGCGUUAGGGUGCAAACCAUGUAGGCCAUGGUGUGUUUUUUACUAGCUAUGGUGUGUUUUAUACUAUCUGAUGUGGAAGGUGGAAAUAUUGAUACCACUUCUGUGUUAGUAUACUUGAUAUGGUGUGUUUUAUUCAAGUAAUUAACCACAUCUCUUACAAAUUUUCCUUGAGAUACAUGUUUAUAUGGCAGGAGUGAUUGUCUCGACGAAUAAUCAUUUAUGCUAACAGACCAGUACUUGAUCAUAGGUAACAGGCCAAUACUUGAUCAUAGGUAACAGACCAGUACUUGAUCAUAGGUAACAGACCAGUACUUGUUUAGUGCAGACAACUGACUAUUCUUUUUUUCUGAACUUUUUGUGAUAUGUCUGUUAUGUGGAUAUCAUAUUCUAAUGCUUUUCUAAGUAUUUAAGGUACAAACAUGUGGAUCUGGACAUUUCACAUUUGCUCUUUAUUGUGUUGCUAAGGACACUGAACGGUUUAUCUGGGCCACCGCACAGCCUGGCUAAUCAGGUUGUAGUGAUUAGGGAGAAGCUUGCAGAACUGUAUGAAUUUGAAUAACAAUGGCCGAGAGCAUGACAAAUGCUUAGUGGCACUGACUUGGACUCAGGAAUAAGGAUGGUUGAUGACAAACAAAUUAUCCAAGUGCGUCCAGAUUGCACGACUAUUUGGAGGAUGAUGAUGCAGUGAAUGUUGAAGCUUUUAUCAACAAAGCCUCAUUUUUUGUCACAAACAGCAACCAGGAAGUUCUGAACUUUUAAUACAAGGUAUGCUAUGCGAGAAUUUUAGAUCUAAAGCGUAAAUUCUUGGAAGCUGCACUUCGAUACUAUGGUAUCUCUCAAAUUGAGCAACGCCAACUUGGGGAUGAGUACAUACAUUGGAUCUGGACAUUUCACAUUGGCUCUUUAUUGUGUUGCUAAGGACACUGAUGGGUUGAGUUUGCCUAAAACGCAGUAUGGAGCAACAAAUUGGUCUCAUUGCAAGGUUACUACCUGGACGUAUAGGCAAGCAAUGUCAAGAAAGGUGACAUAAUCAUCUGAAUCCAGACAUACGGAGAGAUGCUUGGACUAUGAGGAGGAACAUGCACUGUAUAAUGCCCAGGGAAUAAAUGGGCAGAAAUAGCAAAAUUUCUUCCUAGAAGACAUCUGAACAUUGCAGGAAUGAGGUACUUCCAUUUGUGUAACUUCUAUUUGUUACCAGUUCUUCUCACCUAUUGGAGUUGCAAGAUACACAGAAUCAGUCAUCUUAAUCUUCUUUUGUAAAUAUGACUGCUGGUGCUGCUGGUAACGCUAUCCAUCGGCUUGUAGCUCAUGAGAGGCAACCACAGUUGCCAACUUGAAACAUAUAUCUUUUAGGAACGAAGAUCUGAAUCACCCUCACCCCUCGAGAGAAAUCGUUUAGUCAUUCAGAGCCGGAGACGAGUUCGUGAAUGAGGAACCUGUUGAGUAUGUUUACGAGGAGGAAGCUUUCGACAACCUUAAGAACUUUGUAGGCAACAUGAUCAUUACCCCCGAUAUCACUUCUAUGUUUGCUUGCUAGUUGUUCGCUCUAUCGCUAUGUCGUGCUACAUACCAUUUGUUUAUCAUGCCUCCCAUAUUGCGAUG